ACAGUCAUUGUUUCCAGACCAGCCGAGCCAACUGGGGAGGAGAGGCCAAGCCCAGGGAGAGCAGUAAGAGGCCCAGCUUGCAACACAGGCCCCCGGCGGCUGGAGUCGGCUCAUGGGUUGCUGGGGGGCAGCUGGUGCCAGCCCUGCUAGACAUGUCCAGGGUCGGGGCAGAGGCCAGGGUGGCUCUCAUCCACAACGAGGCUCCAGGAAGAGGCUCCAGAGGGCCCAGGUCCCUGGAGGAAGACAGAGGGUGGAUUAUCCAGUGAGUCCUCAGAUUGCUCCAGGGAGACUCUACCCCUAGGCCCUCAUCCUACCUAGGACUGAGGCAGCCAUCUGGGUCUCUGCUUCCCUAACCACUUCCUCCUCCACCCGACCAUCACCUAGUCUCAAGGACUUGGGCAGCUUCUGGAAGUGGCUGAGACUGGAAGAAUGUUGUCACACCUACCAGAUAUCCCUACGUGUAUCUCUACCACCCCCACUACAUAUUCUGAAGAACCAAGGUGCAACAGGAACCUGGAGCCUCAAGAGCCGAGGUGCUCAGGAGGGGCAGCAUGACUCCAGGGCUCGGAAGGAGCCCCUCAGAAGGAACUUCAGUGGCAACUUCCUACUCAACUUGGUCCUGUGACAUCUAGUGGCCAACAGGAGAAGUGCAGUGAAAUCUCUGGACAUUGUAAGCAGGUGGAAAAGCUUAGGACUUCCUGGGAUUAAAAAAAAAAUGCGCUGAAAUUCAUGAUAGCUGAAGUAUCCAUGGAAUAUAGAAGAUGCACAUUGACAUGCACCUUAUAAAGUCUAUAAUCCCAUGUUUUGUUCCUAAUAUUCAUGUUUAUUUACUCUCACUGGUGGAAAAUACACCAUAUCCAAUUCAUUGUCUCUUAAUUGAUGAACUAUCUUUGCAAAUAAUAUAAUAUAUAAUACAAUGUAAUGUAUAAUAGAGUGUAAUGUGAUGCAAACUCAGUGCUUGCAGAUAUGCUCAAUAAUAAAGGACAUUAUAGGUAUGAAAA
rnacentral:lncRNA from 1 species